UACCAGCUCUCCGAGUGGUAGGGAUGAUUAUUGGGCUUAAAGCGUCCGUAGCCGGCUUAGCAAGUCUCCCGUUAAAUUCAGCGACCUAAUCGUUGAGCCGCGGGAGAUGCUACUAGGCUAGGAGGCAGGAGAGGUCAACGGUACUUCCGGGGUAGGGGUGAAAUCCUAUAAUCCCGGGAGGACCACCAGUGGCGAAGGCUGUUGACUAGAACGCGCUCGACGGUGAGGGACGAAAGCUGGGGGAGCGAACCGGAUUAGAUACCCGGGUAGUCCCAGCUGUAAACGAUGCGAGCUAGGUGUUGGGGUGGCUACGUGCCACUUCAGUGCCGCAGGGAAGCCAUUAAGCUCGCCGCCUGGGGAUACGGCCGCAAGGCUGAAACUUAAAGGAAUUGGCGGGGAGCACCACAAGGCGUGAAGCUUGCGGUUC
rnacentral:rRNA from 1 species